CAGGCUGUAGUUUAAUAAAAUAUUAAGUUGCAACUUAAAGUUGAGGUUAAUGCACUCCUCUUGUCUGG
rnacentral:tRNA from 1 species